CAGUGGAGCAGCAUUGCGGAGCUGCACGGUGAUCGCUGGCGAGUGUCUUUCACUAUGGGAGUGUGUGAGCUAACCGCUGAGACUAGAGGCUCCUUUUCAUUUCCCUCUGAAGUAUGGGCGUUUGGGCACAACGUGUUGACCUAGUAGACCUAGUAACGUCCAGCAGUGAUCUGCAAGCAGAUGAAGACCAGCAGAGAAGUUAUUGCUGCUUACCUGUCAGUCUUAUAGUAAAUGGCUGAUUUAAGGAGAUACAGGCUGAGAUCAAGGAUGAAGCUCUGAAACUUUCUGGAGUUUGUUUUACACUUUGUGACAACAAAAACCAGUAGAGUGGAGCAAAGCAUCGCACCAGAGGACUGACUGCCGCUGCUUGUUCAACAGGGAUGCGGUGGAAACAAAAUGGCAUGAAAAUUUCUGGUUUAAUUGAAGACUUACAAAAUUACAGUGGUACUCCUUGAGUUUGUCAGACUAAUACAAAAUUUUCUUCAGUCAGUACACUCAGUUUAGAAUGCAUUUAGUAGUAGUUGUAUUUUGUUACCCGGGUGGCGGCGGCGCAGUGGGUUGGACCACAGUCCUGCUCUCCGGUAGGUCUGGGGUUCGAGUCCCACUU